UACGAAGGGGGCUAGCGUUGCUCGGAAUCACUGGGCGUAAAGCGCACGUAGGCGGAUUGCUAAGUCAGGGGUGAAAUCCUGGAGCUCAACUCCAGAACUGCCUUUGAUACUGGUGAUCUUGAGUUCGGGAGAGGUGAGUGGAACUGCGAGUGUAGAGGUGAAAUUCGUAGAUAUUCGCAAGAACACCAGUGGCGAAGGCGGCUCACUGGCCCGAUACUGACGCUGAGGUGCGAAAGCGUGGGGAGCAAACAGG
rnacentral:rRNA from 1 species